CCUACGGGGGGCAGCAGUGGGGAAUAUUGCACAAUGGGCGCAAGCCUGAUGCAGCGACGCCGCGUGAGCGAUGAAGGCCUUCGGGUCGUAAAGCUCUGUCCUAAGGGAAGAAUAAUGACGGUACCUUAGGAGGAAGCCCCGGCUAACUACGUGCCAGCAGCCGCGGCAAUACGUAGGGGGCGAGCGUUAUCCGGAAUCACGGGGCGUAAAGGGGGCGUAGGCGGCCCUGCAAGUCAGGAGUUAAAUCACUCGGCUCAACCUAGGUCAGCACUUGAACCUGUUGGGCUUGAGUGCGGGAGAGGAAAGCGCAAUUCCUAGUGUAGCGGUGCAAUGCGUAGAUAUUAGGAGGCACUCCAGUGGCGAGGGCGGCUCUCUGGACUGCAACUGAAGCUGAGGCACGAACGCGUGGGGAUCGAACAGGAUUAGAUACCCUUGUAGUC
rnacentral:rRNA from 1 species